rnacentral:rRNA from 1 species
UACGGGGGGGGCAAGCGUUGUUCGGAAUUACUGGGCGUAAAGGGCUUGUAGGCGGCCAACUAAGUCCGACGUGAAAUCCCCAGCUUAACCUGGGAACUGCGUGUGAUACUGGAUGGCUUGAAUUCGGGAGAGGGAUGCAGAAUUCCAGGUGUAGCGGUGAAAUGCGUAGAUAUCUGGAGGAAUACCGGUGGCGAAGGCGGCAUCCUGGACCGACAUUGACGCUGAACGGCGAAAGCUAGGGGAGCAAACGGG